GGUAAAGAGUUGCCUACGCAUCGGUGUGCAUGUUACCAAUAACUGUUAGGUGAGGUGCAUGUCAUCGAUGGGACCGCAGCACCCACUAGGAAUCCUUUAUCGUGUUAGGAUUUUUGUUUCCUUCCAGGAGAGUGGAGAGAUCCAAAAAAUUAGUGAGAGUCAUUAUUUGCUUCUUAAAGUUCCUAGAAGCAAAUUAAAAAAUUAAGUAUAAAAGUCUAACUUGAAUCUCUACUCUUACAGUUAAACC
rnacentral:lncRNA from 1 species